GAUGAACGCUGGCGGCGUGCCUGAUACAUGCAAGUCGAGCGAACGGACGAGAAGCUUGCUUCUCUGAUGUUAGCGGCGGACGGGUGAGUAACACGUGGAUAACCUACCUAUAAGACUGGGAUAACUUCGGGAAACCGGAGCUAAUACCGGAUAAUAUUUUGAACCGCAUGGUUCAAAAGUGAAAGACGGUCUUGCUGUCACUUAUAGAUGGAUCCGCGCUGCAUUAGCUAGUUGGUAAGGUAACGGCUUACCAAGGCAACGAUGCAUAGCCGACCUGAGAGGGUGAUCGGCCACACUGGAACUGAGACACGGUCCAGACUCCUACGGGAGGCAGCAGUAGGGAAUCUUCCGCAAUGGGCGAAAGCCUGACGGAGCAACGCCGCGUGAGUGAUGAAGGUCUUCGGAUCGUAAAACUCUGUUAUUAGGGAAGAACAUAUGUGUAAGUAACUGUGCACAUCUUGACGGUACCUAAUCAGAAAGCCACGGCUAACUACGUGCCAGCAGCCGCGGUAAUACGUAGGUGGCAAGCGUUAUCCGGAAUUAUUGGGCGUAAAGCGCGCGUAGGCGGUUUUUUAAGUCUGAUGUGAAAGCCCACGGCUCAACCGUGGAGGGUCAUUGGAAACUGGAAAACUUGAGUGCAGAAGAGGAAAGUGGAAUUCCAUGUGUAGCGGUGAAAUGCGCAGAGAUAUGGAGGAACACCAGUGGCGAAGGCGACUUUCUGGUCUGUAACUGACGCUGAUGUGCGAAAGCGUGGGGAUCAAACAGGAUUAGAUACCCUGGUAGUCCACGCCGUAAACGAUGAGUGCUAAGUGUUAGGGGGUUUCCGCCCCUUAGUGCUGCAGCUAACGCAUUAAGCACUCCGCCUGGGGAGUACGACCGCAAGGUUGAAACUCAAAGGAAUUGACGGGGACCCGCACAAGCGGUGGAGCAUGUGGUUUAAUUCGAAGCAACGCGAAGAACCUUACCAAAUCUUGACAUCCUUUGACAACUCUAGAGAUAGAGCUUUCCCCUUCGGGGGACAAAGUGACAGGUGGUGCAUGGUUGUCGUCAGCUCGUGUCGUGAGAUGUUGGGUUAAGUCCCGCAACGAGCGCAACCCUUAAGCUUAGUUGCCAUCAUUAAGUUGGGCACUCUAAGUUGACUGCCGGUGACAAACCGGAGGAAGGUGGGGAUGACGUCAAAUCAUCAUGCCCCUUAUGAUUUGGGCUACACACGUGCUACAAUGGACAAUACAAAGGGCAGCGAAACCGCGAGGUCAAGCAAAUCCCAUAAAGUUGUUCUCAGUUCGGAUUGUAGUCUGCAACUCGACUACAUGAAGCUGGAAUCGCUAGUAAUCGUAGAUCAGCAUGCUACGGUGAAUACGUUCCCGGGUCU
rnacentral:rRNA from 1 species